CUGGCGGCACUAGCGCGGUGGUCCCACCUGACCCCAUGCCGAACUCAGAAGUGAAACGCCGUAGCGCCGAUGGUAGUGUGGGGUCUCCCCAUGCGAGAGUAGGGAACUGCCAGGC
rnacentral:rRNA from 31 species